rnacentral:rRNA from 1 species
UACGUAGGGAGCAAGCGUUGUCCGGAAUCAUUGGGCGUAAAGCGCGCGUAGGUGGCCUCGUAAGUCCGCUGUGAAAGUCACAGGCUCAACCUUUGAAAGCCGGUGGAUACUGUGAGGCUAGAGUACGGAAGAGGCGAGUGGAAUUCCUGGUGUAGCGGUGGAAUGCGCAGAUAUCAGGAGGAACACCAAUAGCGAAGGCAGCUCGCUGGGACGUAACUGACACUGAGGCGCGAAAGCGUGGGGAGCGAACAGG